rnacentral:misc_RNA from 1 species
UACAGAGACCUCGAGCGUUAUUCGGAUUCACUGGGCGUAAAGGGUGCGCAGGCGGCCAUGUGUGUCAGGGGUGAAAUACUGCAGCUUAACUGUAGAACUGCCUCUGAAACUACCUGGCUAGAGUACCGGAGAGGGAAGCGGAAUUCCUGGUGUAGCAGUGAAAUGCGUAGAUAUCAGGAGGAACACCGAAUGCGAAGGCAGCUUCCUGGACGGUUACUGACGCUCAGGCACGAAAGCAUGGGGAGCGAAAGGG